rnacentral:lncRNA from 1 species
UCUUGUUGCAGAGUGGGAUCAUUAUCUGAAAUCAUGGUGAAAUCACAUAUAUUCCUAUCAACUGAAUUUUCCCCUGAAAUCUGUGGAGGCAGACCCUAGGAAAAAAUGAAGUCUGCAAGAAGCAGGUGUUUGAAAGUCAUUGUUUUCCUACACCUUGAGCAUCAUCUUCACAGAAGAACAUAUUCCUGGUACUUCAUCAGUUCAAAAGCUCAAGGCAAAAGGACAUUCCUGGGAGAGAUUCACUAAGUGAGAGGAGGAAAGAGCAAAAUGCAAACACAGCUGAUCCUCAGUGAAUUGAAGCUUUGCCCAAAGGCUGUCACAAAUAGCAGAAGACCUCUUUCCCAGCUGAGUGUCUGUGUAAGUCACAGAUACCUCAUAGUCCUCUUGGACAGGGUUUCUGAAGAAUCAGAGUGCAUGAGCAAUGACUGCUGCACUUGAAACAGCCCUUCAACAGCUCUGGCAAACGCGUUCAACAGAUCAAGAACUUAAUUCCAGUGUGCCUCCUACAAGUGAUUCCUUGUUUGAACAGCUCCUUUGCCUCUCAGAACAACGGGUGAUGAAAAGGUGAAGAACAAGUGAGAAGCUACAGCAGGUGACUCAUCUCUUCAGAGGCUAGAAGUAUAAAAAAACAAAGGUGUUUGACGCACAGCUGACCCCAGGAGGAUUCAUCCUCAACCCUGAUUGUACAUCAGCUGUAUAUUUAUGACUACUGCAUGUACAACAGAGUGGGAAUUCAGAAAUCAACUGCCUUAUAAAAUCAAAUAACCCUGUAAUUUUUUCCCAACACAUAUUGAUUUGCUCAAUAAAUGGACUCUACCUUUGGAUAUAUAAGCUGGU